rnacentral:lncRNA from 1 species
GUUUGAUCUCAGACUGCUGUGCUAGCAAUCAGCGAGACUCCGUGGGCGUAGGACCCUCCUAGCCAGAUACAAAAAGAAAAAUUACUGUCAUGUGAUGUGUGAUCCAUGAUACCGUCAUAGUUUUGUUCCAAGACCAUCCUCAAGGAGUUUAAUGAAUGUGGCAUCACAAGAAAAAUAUGCAUCAACAUUGAAAAAUAUGGUGCCUCCCUCUGGAACAGAGCGCAGUUAUAUUUCCUGCAUAGUAUGGCAAAGCCUUCCAGCCAGUUCAAUGGUGGGAGUCUCCCCCUGCUCUUCCUGCACAAUCAUUUCCCAUUGAGGAAGAAUGUGAAAAUGACGCACAGGUGAGGGAGGCAUACUAUAAGACCGCUUCUUACCUUUCGUUUCCUGGAGCCAAUAUGAAUGAAGACCCAGAGAGAGGAGAAGGGAAAGAGAAGCUGCCAAAAACAGACAAUGGGAGAAAAGAAGUGAGCACCAAGAGCAUCCUGGGAUGAAAAUGAGGAAGGCUGGAGAUUUGUCAUUGUCAGUGUUGUCAUUUUCUGUCGUAUUUUAAAUCUGAGAGCUUUUAUGGUAGGAGUAUAUGUGCUGUUUUAUAAUAGCUUAGAGAAAAUUUUUCAUUGGAUGUUUUAGUCCAUUCAUUCCUUAGCACUUACAAAAGUCACAGGCAAAAAUCAAACGUGCAAGCAAAUCCCAAACUCUCUACAUGUAAAGUGGUGAAUUCUAAUUAUUUUUCAAAUUUGU